CACCAGGCUAUACGCCUUUCCUCCCUUCUCACUCAUAGCGCAAACUCUCCUACACUUACAGCGCUCCCGAGCAUCGUUGGUUUUAAUAACACCAUUCUGGACGGCACAGCCAUGGUUCCCUUCGCUCAUGGAAAUGUCAAUCGACCUCCCCAGAUUGAUCCCAGGAGGCACGGAAUUAUUAUCAGACCCCGAUGGGAACUCUCACCCACUUCUAGUGCAAG
rnacentral:lncRNA from 1 species